UGAGCUAGGCCAAAAACUAAACCUGUGCAUCAAACACUUUGCCAAGUUGUGAAGGCAGAGGAAGAGUUCUUGAAGAAAUUUACAAAUGCUACUCUAGCAAACACACAAAUGAUAAGAAAGCCAAACAGCCUUGUUGCUAAUAGGGAGAAAGUCUGAGUGGUCUGGAUAGAAGGUCAAACAAGCCACAAGUCCUCUUAAACCGAAGCCUAAUUCAGAGUGUGGCCCUGACUGUCGUCGAUUUUACAAAGGCUGAGAGAUGAGGAAGGUGCAGAAGAAAAGUCUGAAGCUAAGAGAGGUUGGUUCAUGUGGUUUAAGAAAGAAGCCGUCUCCAUAAUGUAAAAGUACAAGAUGAAACAGCAAGUGCUGAUGUAGAAGCUGCAUCAGAAGGUCUAGAUAAGGUAAUUAAUGAAGGUGGGUACAGAUUUUCAAUGUAAGAUGAAGCAGCUUUAUAUUGGAAGAAGAUGCCAUCUAGGACUUUUGUAACUGGGGAGAAGUCAAUGCCUGGCUUCAAAGCUUCAGAGGACAGGCUGACUCUCUUGUUAGGGGCUAAUGCACCUGAUGAAUUCAAUGCUUAUUUAUCAUUCUGAAAGCCCCAGGGCUGUUAAGAAUGAUGCUAAAUCUACUCGACUGAUGCUCCUUAAAUGGAACAACCAAACCUGGGUGGCAACACAUCUACAACAGUUGUCUACAACAGUUUACUGAAUAUUUUAAGCCCACGAUGUCACCUACUGCAGAGCAAAAAAAAAAAAAAAAAAAAACUUAUUUCAAAACAUUACUGCUUACUGACUGUGCAUCUGGUCCUCCAAGAGCUCUGAUAAGAUGUACAAUGAGGUUAGUGUUUUCAUGCCUGCUAACACAACAUCCACCCUGCAGCCCACGGAUCAAGGAAUAAUUUUGACUUUUAAGCCUCAUUAUUUAAGAAAUACAUUUUAUAAACUAUAGCUGCCACAGAUGGUGAUUCCCUUGGUGGAUCUUGGCAAAGUGAAUUGAAAACUUUCUAGAAAGCAUUCAUCAUUCUAUAUGCUGUUAAGAACAUUUAUGAUUCAUAGAAUGAGGUCAAAAUAUCAACAUGAAUGGGAGUUUGGAAGAAAUUUAUUGUAACCCUCAUGAAUGAAUUUGAGGGGUUCAAGACUUCGGUGGACAAAGUAACAAUAGAUUUGGUGGAAAUAGCAAGAGAACUAGAAUUACAGGUGGAGCCUGAAGAUAUGACCGAAUUGCUGCAAACUUAUGAUAAAACUUUAACUGAUGAGGAGCUGUUACUUAUGGCUGAACAAAGAAAGUGGUUUCUUGAGAUGGCACCUGGUCCUGGUGAAUAUGCCGUGAAGACUGUUGAAAUGACAACAAAGGACUUAAAAUAUUACAUAAACUUAACUGAUAAAGCAAGCGACAAGGUUUGUUGGAAUUGACUCCGAUUUUGAAACAAGUUCUGUAGGUAAAAUGUUAUCAAACAGCAACAUAUGCUACAGAGAAAUUGUUCAUGAAAGGAAGAGUCAGUCCACACAGUGAAGUUCAUUGUUGUCUUCUUUUAAGAAAUUGCCACAGCCAUUCCAAUCUUCAGCAACCACCACCCUGAUCCGUCAGCAACAAUUAACAUAGAGGCAGGACUUCCAGCAGCCAAAACAUUCUGACUCUGUGAAAGCUCACGUAUUUUCAAAUAUGGCUCUAUUCUUUUUUUAAUCAUUUUUUUUUAAUUUAAAUUCCAGUUAGUUAGCCUACAGUGUAAUAGUAGUUUCAGGUGUAGAACUUAGUGAUUCAUUGCUUGCAUACAAUACCCAGUGCUCAUCACAAGUGCUCUCCUCAAUACCCAUCACCCAUUUAACCCAUCUCUCCCCCCACCUCCCCUCCAGUAAACCUCAGUGUGUUCUCUGUAGUUAGGAGUCUGCUUUGCGGUUUUCCCUCUAUGUUCGUUUGGUUUAUUUCUUCAGUUCCACAUAUCAGUGAAAAUCGUAUGGCAUUUGUCUUUCUCUGACUGAUUUACUUUGCUUAGCAUAAUACACUCUAGCUCCAUCCACAUCAUUGCAAAUGGCAAGAUUUCAUUAUUUUUGAUGGCUGAGUAAUAUUCUUUUGUAUUUAUAUACCACAUCUUCUUUAUCCAUUCUUCAGUCGAUGAAUGAAUUUGGGCUCUUUCCAUAAUUUGGCUAUUGUUAAUAACACUGCUAUCAAUACCAGCGUGCAUGUGUCCCUUCGAGUCAGUAUUUUUGUAUCCUUUGGGUAAAUGUGGUGCAAUUUCUGGGUCAUAAGGUAGUUCUCUUCUUAUUUUUGAAGAACCUCCAUACUGUUUUCCAGAGUGGCUGCACUGGUUUUGCAUUCUUGAUUUUUAAAAAAUCCUGUUUGGAAUAGGAAUUCAACUUGGAUGGUUGCAUUUUGUGGCCAGGAGGACAAAUUGAAGACCCAUAUAGUACUUCUGUUUUCUUUCCUUCCAUUUUCCACCAUAAUUUAUGGGCUACAGAUUGAAUUUAACCUACAUUGGAAUUAAAGGUUUUUUUCAUCCUUCCCAUUAGGAAAACCUUGGUGAUUCUUGUCCAAGAUUGUCACUUAUUAAAAAUAUUCUCCUCCAUAACUUAGACACAUAGAAAAUUUUACAGUUUAUUUAUUUUUUUAAAUUUUUUUUAACAUUUAUUUACUUUUGAGACAAAGAGAGACAGAGCAUGAACGGGGGAGGGUCAGAGAGAGAGAGGGAGACACAGAAUCUGAAACAGGCUCCAGGCUCUGAGCUGUCAGCACAGAGCCCAACGCGGGGCUCGGACUCACUAGCCUUGAGAUCAUGACCUGAGCUGAAGUCGGAUGCUUAACCGACUGAGCCACCCAGGUGCCCCGAAAAUUUUACAGUUUAAAUUCCUACUCACAGCUUAGUGUUUUGGCCUCCCAUCUCAUCAUAAUUGGAAAAAGAGUUAGAAUAUGAAAUGAAAGCAAAAUGACUGAAACAAUCUAUAGAUAUAAUUGGAAAUUAUCUAUUUAGGGAUGAAGACGUUUCUACUCGGAAUUAAGACAUUUCUACUUGUUACUAUUUAUAUAUUCAAAAUUAAUUAAGGAUGCAAGAGUCUCUUCCCAGCUAGACUCUGAGCACCUUCGGAACAGCAGCUAUCUCAGUCGGUUUGGUUAGCCCUCACCUACUCAGCAAAUGAAACGCAGAAAGUACUCAGUCUGUAUUUGUUUAAUUGUAGAAUAAAAUUGACUUAUUUAAAGUGUACUUUUCCUCUAAUUUAAAAACCUUUUAUUCUUCCAUAUAAUUUAUCUCAUUAUAUAGCAUAGAUGUUAAUUACCAUGUUACGUAAUGUAUCAUUUUGGGGAAAAAAAAGUUAGGAAAGCUGUCUGGUCAGGAUUGGUGCGUUGAAAAUCUGCAAAGUUUCCUUGUACACAAUCCACCUACCAGGUUUUUUUUCCUUUAUCAGUUGGUAGGAAUAGGAGGAUUUUUAUUGUUAAUUUUCAUUAAGGAAGAUGGUUAAUUUAAAUGGGAAACGGGUAUUAUAAUAUAAACACAAUCUCCUCCAACCCAGAAAUCCUCUCCACAUAGUUGAGAAGGAAGACGCUUUACUAUUGAAUAAGCAUUAAAACAGAAUGUGAUGUGUAUCUCAGGAGAUCAACUAACAGAUUGCAAAGACAGAACAUCCCCCACCCCCAAACCUUUUAUAUAACCAAGCAGGUACAACCCAUUACUUACAUGUUCUCAAAAUAAAAAAUAACUAGUUCUCAAAUAAGCGGUCUUGACAACACCAUUUGUCACAUACAGUUCAUCCCAACCUUACUUAGAAAUUGGGGUGACCAUCUGUGCUGUGUUUAUCCAGAGGAAAACCAAACUUUUCAUGUCUUUAUAACAUGAGACAGUUUUGCAACUGGAGCAAGCUGCACAGGGAAGUGACCCUCCCACAGAAAGUGGGAGAUAGUGGCGUUACCUUCCUUGAUGUUUACAUUUCAAACAGAUGGCUCUGAGUCCUUGAGAAAGAGUUUCCCAGAUUAUAAAGCUGACAAAAUGUUGAUCUAGUCUUCAAAGGGAUUUACAUACAUUUCAAAGGAGAUAGUACUUAAAGUUAUAAUUUUUCUAAGUAAAUACUCAAAGAAAAAGGAGGACAGGGAAAUCUCAUUUAUUUGCUAGAGAGAACAUUAAGCCUCCUGUAUUUCAUUUGUAUUUGUCCCUACAGUACCUACUAUCUGGCUACUUCAUGCAGUCCUUUAUGGGAGAUGAGUGGGGUGGCGAAGAGAGGGAGGGAGCACUGCUCUCAUCGCUCUCAUACCCUGCUUUGUUUGUUUGUCGUCGUUUUCUCCUGUUUCUGAAUGUUAACCUCAGCACUUGUUGGCCAAGCUGUGACUUGAAGUGACUACUGCCCUGCAAGUGGAAAAGACUCCUUUAAGUUUGUUCUUCCAGAUACUGGCAUGGGGAGAUGUCUGGGAACAGCUUUCUCAACUUCCUCUCCCUUGGUCUCAGGAGAGUCUAUAACAUAUUCCUGCUAAUUUAAACUUAAUAAAUGAAUCACGAAAAUAUAUAGAAUACUGGAUAAGUGGCCGAGUGACAGCAAGCAGGGGGCUUUCAACCAAGUAUGGAUAGAGUUCCCAGAAGACUUCAUCAGCAGGAAAGAAGCUCUAAUAAUGUGGAAUAGAAAUACCAGAAGACUCCUAUCAGCACAGCUGAAGACUGACCCUGGAGAUUGAUAUGUCUUCAUGCACUGGAGGCAAUUAGAGCAAACGGAUGAGAAGGGCCUGUUGGUAUUCAGGAGCAACAGUCUCAAGAACCCUGGGUGGGGGGCACAGUACUUCUGUAGGACUGCCUGACAGUGGGUAGUGCCAGUGGCAGAGGGCAUACAGGCGAAAGAAUUUCUGCCAUCACCACCAAAACCACACGCCCAUGUUUGGAUGCUGUAGACCUGAAAUAGCAGGAUAAGUGGAACAUGGAUGGGUGAGAUCCAUUGCACAGGCUUCUAGGUGCAGCUCUAAGCCAAGGGUCAACAGUGGAAAGUUGGAAGUCCAGGGUCUGAACUUAUCCUGUGUCUGAUAUAAAUGAGUCAUCCCACAUCAGCAAGUAAGCACCAUAUUAAUGGUUCAGUCUUAGAAGAUCCCAGGAAAGAAAUACUUGUGUUGUCCAGCAGGAGUGAUCUGAUCUGCUAGAACCAGAUCCGUGCCUAGAUCUGAAACCAUGCCUGGAUCUGGUAUCAGAUCCGUGCCUGGUCUCUUGGUGGUACGGGUCUGAAACAUGAAGGCAAAUGCAAGAAGAAACAGUUAAAGAAUUUAAAUAUUCUUUAUCUCUGAUUUAUUCUUAGAGAAGGGCUACUGAAGAAAAAAAGUAGAGUCAAGGGAUCACUGUUUCUUGUAACAAGCCUUGUACUAGUAUGUUAGUUUUUAAGUUCUAUACAUGUAUUACUUCAAAACAUAAAAAUUAAAAAAAUGAAUAUAUCAAAACAAAACAAAAUAAAGCCAAGUUGUAGUAUAUAGCCUUUUUUAUAAUCUGCCUUUUCUAUCUAAUGAUAUAUCUCGAACAUUUCCCCGUAUUCUCAUAAAAUAUGACUUGAUGAUUAAAUAGUAUUCUACCACACAGAUGUGCCAUAGCCAUAACUGACUUAACAAUUUUCUUACUUUGGGUAUUUAAGUGAUUUCCAGUUUGUCUUUGUGGAAUGGAAAUCAGCAGGAAUUCGGCACUUCCACAUUCGGUGUCCGAUGGACUUGCUAAAAAUGACUUUUCAUUCUGUCUGUUGCUUCCAGCCCUUGUUGUUUCUGGAAACUUGCUGUAUCAACCCUCUCCCCUAAUAGAUCUUAUUAUAUGACAGUGUAGCUAAGAGUGUGGCUGCAGCAAGCCAGGUGGACCUGGGUUCAAAUCAUAAACCUCCCAUUUUUCAGCUCUCAAAGACUCAGUGAUCUUAUAUUUAAAAAAGGAUUACUAUAAGGAUUAUAUGAAACAUUGUAUCUAAAUUUAUGGAGAUACCUAGUUGAUAAUGGUAUUAUCAUUUAUUGGCUCUUCUCUGACACCUAUUUAUUGAGUGUUUUAAUGUGGCAGGCCUUGUGAUGGGUGCUAAAGAUGCAAAGAUGGGAGAAACAAGCAAGCCCUGAUCUGUGACUAUUACAGUGUCACAUUAUAGAAAAUCAUCAAGCUAUUGCAUUUUAAAAAAUUCGGAAUUGCAGCUAUGCCAAAUGCCAAAGAAGAGAGAGACCUUGUGCAAUGCAGGCCUGUCAUAGGAGAUUUGAUACAGUCACAGAGUGGCCCUGCGUUUCAUAGGGAUAUCAGUCUGCCUUAUGAUUCUGGACAAAAAGAGAGGGCAGCAAGAAGAUUGGUAUCCUCCACCAGAAAACACAGUAUUUGGUUUAAGAUGUUGGGGUUUUUUGUUUGUUUUUUUGUUUUGUUUUGUUUUGUUUUGUUUUGUCUUCUGUGUUCAUUCUCACAGAACAGAAACUGUAUGCAUGUGACUUUGCAAUGAAACGGUGCAGACUGGGACCAGUGGGAAAUAUCUUUAACUCUUUCCUGCCCACUGUUCAUGGCCUUCAGUCAUCUUUCCUGUUUAUAGCAUCUGUGCUCUGAGAGCCUUUUCAUGUGCCUCCAGGAUGGACCAUUGUAAUGUGCUUCUUUGACUAAGGUCCGUUGUAUUCCAGCUUUACUAUGCCACUCUGGCUGUCUUUGAAUCUCUAGGGCUUGGCAGGGUACCUGACACAAAGCAGCUUCUCACAACAUGCAAAGCAGGUUGACUGAAAUCUAAUAUCAUAUUUCAGGGCAGGGCAGACAUCACCUGCCCAGGAAGAUGUAGGGAGGAAGGAAGGGACUUCUGGUCCCUGAAUAUACUAGAGCCCUAAGACAGUUCAGCGUAAAAAGGAGUGGAAGGAAAAUAUCAAGAGGCAGCUCCUAGAAAGGGUUCAAUGUAAAGGUGGGGAGGGAAUUCCAGACAGGGAGACAUGAGGUACAUGGGUAAAAAAGGAUAGCAACCUUAUCUGUAGUAGGAGUAUCAGUGUAUGGCUGUGCCAGGAGCAGGGAGAGGUUGGGGAGAGGCUGUUAGGGAGAUCAAUAGUAGAUGGCACUGGGAAAGUACUCGGAGCUGAGUUGUGAAAUACCUUCUGCCAUUAAUAUUAGAGACACAUUUAAAAUAAAACGCAUAGGCUGGAGAAAAGCAGAGAGCUUUAAAAAGAUAGAAUUUAAGUACUGCUAAUUAUCUGACAGCACAGAAAAAUAAUAGAGCAAAACAAAUCCUCCCAGCUGUGAUCAGCAUGCUUAAGGGUCUUGAACUUCACAAGCUGGCCAGGAACUAAAACUUCUGGGAUCUGAUAUCCUUGCUCCUGACCUUGCAAUUCCAGAGUUAAUAUUGUGUUCAGUGUCUGAAGGUAAAGGGAUCUUCAGACCAGAAAAAUAUUGUAUCUUCUUUUUUUUGUUAGUGAUUACUUUUUGUAUCUUUAUUUUUAAAAUAUGUAAACAGUAGGUUUUGUGACUUUACUUAAUGAAUAAACUCCUCAUUAACAAAUUUCUUCAUA